AGAGACAAAGUAUAUCUAAGUAUUUAAUGAGAACUCCCUCGAAUAAAUUAAAAUUUGAAAGGAUUUAAUAACUUACAAAUUUCAAUCAGCUCUAUGUAAAAACCAUCAAGCAGACGUUAUAAAGCAGUUCAAGUAGUAGAUCUCGGUAAUUCCUUCAACCUAUUAGCCACAAACUUCUCCAAGAAUUACAUUUUGAAAAACUCUUCAAAUGCCGAAUAUAGAAAUCAGUAUUUUUUUUCAUUGCAAAUCUCUAAGAUCAUAUAAGUAAGAAUAUCAAGUUCUAGCAGCACUCCCUUGGAUGAAUUAUAGAUAUUUA
rnacentral:lncRNA from 1 species